rnacentral:sRNA from 1 species
UAAAAUCCCCGCGCCAGCGAUUGGAGCGGAAAUCCUUUCCUGAACGAAAAGACUUUUGUAAUCAAAUCGAAUCGGAAAGAUUGGAGCGGAAAGCGCGGUCAUGG